UCUCCUCUUAUUUAUAGUGAGGAGUUUAGAGUUACAAUUAGAUUAUGAGCCUAAGUUAUUAGGCUUGGCCCGUAAGUAAUACAAAUACAAUUAUAUUUGAUAAAUGACAACUCUAUACUCCUUUGUUAAUUCUGUUAGUGUGGAUGUUGUGAGUUGAACGAACAAGAUCCUCAUGUUAGCGUGUAAUGGUUUGCCUUGUGUGAACAGAUGUGAAUUAACUUGCCUUGUGCGAACAGAGGUUGAGGAAUGCGGCUACACGACCAAAUCACUUCUGUUAGCACUUAGUAGUAGGACUGGGCAUUUUUGAGAUUGGGCCGACCAAACCGGCCAACCCAACCCGAAAAUGGGCCAACCAAGCCCAACAAUUGCAGGUCGAAGCCCAUUCGGUCAAUUAAUGUAACAACCCGAUUUUAAUUGGGCCGGCCACGGCCCAAUACAAUCCUAACCCAUACUACCCAACCCAGCCCGACCACCUACCGUAAACCCUAAAUAUAAUACAUAUUACAUACAUAUAAAAGAUAAACAUAUUAGACACCCCUGCCUCCCUUGCCUUCUCUUCUCUUCGGCUGCACCACCAGCACUCCAGUCCAGACCAGAGUUCACACAUUGGUCCACUCCCCGGCAAAGCUCCACCAGCAGGCAGAGCUCACGUCGUCGGUCUACUGGUUCUCCAGUCCAGCAGGCGAGCUCACGUCAUCAUCGAUCGGUCCACUAGUUCUCCAUUCCAGCAGCAGGCAAGCUCACGUCGUCGUCGUCGGUGAAGGUGACACGGUGAAGCUCCUCGGCGAAGCUCCAGCACCAGCUCCAGGCGAAGCUCCUCGGCGGCACGAAGCUCUAGCUCCAACUCUCCAGACAACAAACUUAAGGACAAAGCAACAACAAAGGAGAA